rnacentral:lncRNA from 1 species
CGACGAUGUCCCGUUCUCUCCGUGGUCCCACGUGGGCGUGUGGCAGAGCCCGGGCUCGGGUUCGCUGCUCAUCAACGCCAGCGCCGCCGCGCGGCUCCAGGGCCGCUUCCGCUGCUUCGCGUCCAACGCGCUGGGCACCGCGCUCAGCCCCGAGGCGCUCGUCAUCGCCGAGAGUGAGCCGGCCCCACACCGCCCCACACCGCCCCACACCGCCCCACACCGCCCCACACCGCCCCACCGGCGCCCCCAAACCCGUGGGGAUCCCCAAAUCCCACCCAGAUCCAUGGGGUUCCCUACAUCCCCCCAAGGACGCCCCCAAAGCCAUGGGGUUCCCUUCACCCCCCUGGGCCAGCCCCACAUCUGUGGGGUCCUUGGGGAUCCCCAAAUCCAUGGGGCUCCCCAGAUCCCACCCAGAUCCAUGGGGUUUCCUACAUCCCCCCACAGACACCCCCAAAACCAAUGGGGCUCCCCAGAUUCAACCCAAAUCCAUGGGGUUCCCUUCAUCCCACCUCGCUCAGCCCCACAUCUCUGGGGUCUUUGGGGAUCCCCAAAUCCAUGGGGUUCCCUUCACCCCCCUGGGCCAGCCCCACAUCUGUGGGGUCUUUGGGGAUCCCCAAACCCACUGGGUUCCCUACAUCCCCCCAUGGUCACCCCCAAAGCCGUGGGGUUCCCCAGAUCCCACCCCAAUCCAUGGGGUUCCCCAGAUCCAACCCAAAGCCUUGGGGUUCCCUUCACCCCCCUGGGCCAGCCCCACAUCUCUGGGGUCUUUGGGGAUCCCCAAACCCACUGGGUUCCCUACAUCCCCCCAUGGUCACCCCCAAAUCCAUGGGGCUCCCCAAAUCCCACCCAAAUCCAUGGGGCUCCCUUCAUUGCAUCUUGCUCAGCCCCACAUCUGUGGGGUCUUUGGGGAUCCCCAAAUCCAUGGGGCUCCCCAGAUCCCACCCAGAUCCAUGGGGAUCCCUACAUCCCCCAUGGUCGCCCCCAAAUCCAUGGGGUUCCCUUCACCCCCCUUGGCCAGCCCCACAUCUGUGGGGUCCUUGGGGAUCCCCAAAUCCAUGGGGCUCCCUACAUCCCCCCACGGUCGCCCCCAAAGCCGUGGGGCUCCCCAGAUCCAACCCAAAUCCAUGGGGUUC